rnacentral:rRNA from 1 species
UGCAUCCAAACAUCUUAUUCAUAUAACUACUACUAACUACUCAAUCAGGGCAAGUCGUAACAUGGUAAGUGUACUGGAAAGUGCACUUAGAAAC